rnacentral:misc_RNA from 1 species
CGAACUUUGAAUCCUAAGAUUUGCUUUUGAUUUCCUUUGAAUCCAUUUGAAUUUAUUUUCUUCUGAUUCUUCAUCCAUGGAGUGUAGAACUUUAGAUAUCAAUAUCAAGAGGGCCAAGGGCCUCAAGAACGUCAAUCUCUUCUCAACGAUGGAUGUAUACGCCGUCGUUUCGAUCUCCGGCGAUCCUCGUGGGAAGUCCAAGCAGAAGACUCCGGUAGCUAAAGACGGCGGCACGGAUCCUCACUGGAAUUAUCCGAUGAAGUUCACAAUCGAUGAGGCUGCCGCACAGAGCAAUCGGCUCAAUCUUAAGAUCAAAUUGGUUUCCGAUCGGAGUUUAGGCGAUAAGAAGAUCGGUAAGGUUAUUGUUCCGAUUAAGCAAUUGCUCGAUGAAAGUGCUAAAGGAGAUGAAGGAAAAUCCGAGAGAACCGCUACUUUCGGCGUCAGGACGAUGAGCGGAAAGGAAAAAGGUACCGUCGAAUUUUCGUAUAAAUUUGGGGAAAAAUACACGGUUCAGGCACCCCCGCCACCGCCUCCUGCUAUGAAAUCCGGUGAGCCGGUGACGGCUUAUCCUCAAGGUUAUCCUGGAUCUAGUUCCGGAUAUCCAGCCGGAGGUGCUUAUCCGCCUGCGCCAGGGACCGCUUAUGCGUAUCCGCCUCCACCGCAAGGAUACGGUUAUCCACCGCCUCCACAGGCUGGAUAUGCGUAUGGCGGUUACCCUCCGCCGCCGCAGCCGGGGUAUGGAUAUGCGCCGGUGCAUCAGCCACAGAGGCCGCAGAAGAGCGGUUUUGGCGGUAUGGCUUUGGGAGCUGGAGCUGGACUUCUCGGUGGUUUGUUGAUCGGCGAUAUGAUUUCAGAUGUGGGUGAAGUGGCGGCGUAUGAUGCUGG